rnacentral:rRNA from 1 species
UCGGGAAUUUUGGGCAAUGGGCGAAAGCCUGACCCAGCAACGCCGCGUGAAGGAUGAAAUCCCUCGGGAUGUAAACUUCGCAAGAAUGGGAAGAAUUAGCGAGCGCUAAUACCGCUCGUGAUGACGGUACCAUUUGUAAGCUCCGGCUAACUCCGUGCCAGCAGCCGCGGUAAUACGGGGGGAGCAAGCGUUGUUCGGAUUUACUGGGCGUAAAGGGCGCGUAGGCGGUCAGCACAAGUCAGUUGUGAAAUCUCCGGGCUUAACUCGGAAAGGUCAACUGAUACUGUGCGACUAGAGUGCGGAAGGGGCAACUGGAAUUCUCGGUGUAGCGGUGAAAUGCGUAGAUAUCGAGAGGAACACCUGCGGCGAAGGCGGGUUGCUGGGCCGACACUGACGCUGAAGCGCGAAAGCCAGGGGAGCGAACGG